UCCCUGGAUCUCAUUUCUCCCGUUAACCGCGGGGCUGAGCGCUCGGCUCCGUUUCGGUCGUUAAUUCCCCACAAAUCCAGCUUUAUUUUGCAGGGGGACCCAGGGCCAGCACUGGCAUUGGUGAGGGCUGAGCUCGAUUGGGCCGGGGAGGGGGGAAGCGGUCUGAGCCCCCAGAUGAGCCCCUAUCCAUCCUUCACUCAUAUAUAUAUGCGUUUAUAUAUAUAAAUACAUAUAUAUGUGGGGUUUAUGAUUAUUUUUCCUGACUUCCCAUUCACCGAGAGGUGGGAAAAACACUUAUUUAGUGUCGUCGUCCCCCCCCCCCCCCCAGUGUCAUUCAGCGAUGGCCAUGGGAGCACAAAGAAGGUGCCACAGCUCGGGUGGGGAGGGUUAAGAAGGGCUCGCUGCCUGCUCCCAAACCUGCCCCCUCGGCGGGAUAACCGCGGGAUAAGUGCGGGAUAACUCUCCGCUGCCUGCCCUGCCCAUGGAUUGCGGGCAAAAGCGCGUUUAUUGAUGAUCUUUUAAAACCCAACUCAACCCGGGACCGGACAACUCGGGGGUGAGAUGAGUCUAAUUAUUGCUGGUUCUAAAAAGAGCUGGAACACCCAAGUAGGGCUUAACUCGUCUCCUGGGAAACUGAUGGAGACCUAUUUUACAAGCUGUAAUUCUGCUUUAGACUAUUGCAGGCUAAAGGCAGUUCACACUGUCCUCUUUCUUCUAGAAAUAGUCCUAAUCCUGUAUUUCGGCCGGGUAAAGUCCGCUUCUGCUCCGCACUAGAUUAAUCCAGAAACCACAUAAAACCAGCCCCUUUCCAGGGGAGAGGAGUCGUUUCCCUGGCAGGGCACAGCGCAGCCAGGUGAGGCAGCCCCGAAGCCACUUGGAUGGGCACCGGAGGAGCACCGCAACAGCGGGCCCCUCCUGCUCCCCACUGGCCACGGGCUCCUUGUUUCAAUAAGCCAAGGGGCAGGAGAGCCCCGGACACAUCACCCGCUGCAGAUAACACGGAUUUCUGCAGCAGGGAGAGCUCUACCUGCCCAAACUGCCCACCACCAGUGCCAGCGUGUAAGGCCAGAGCAAGGUGCUCUCCCUGUGGCUUCCUGCUGGUUUUGCCUCACACCAGCAGUAAAAAGAAUGAUCCUCAUCUCUCCAUGGCUGGGAAACAUCUGCAAACAGCACGGGGAAGUGGGAAUGCGGUGAUUUUACUUCCCACCCUGUAUUGAAAGCAUCGAGAUUGAAGGAUUUUGGAGACCCCUGAGCUGUUUUGUGUGUCACCGUCAGCAUCAGGGCUUCACCAUCUGCCUGCACUUACCCCCCUCCAUUCGUUGUGAUAAUGGCACAAGAAAUCAGUGUCGGGGGGAGCUGGGGCAAACUUCUGGGCUCCACCGAGCGCGCUGCUGCCGUGUACAGAUCCCUUAUUAAAGCCACAGAUUCCCAUCU